GUCUAUGGCCAUAUCACUCUACGUGUGUCUGCCUUAUUUCUCCUGACCUUGGAAGCUAAGCAGGGUCAGGUCUGGUUAGUACUUGGAUGGAAGACUGCGUGAGAAUAUUGGUGCUAUAGUGU
rnacentral:rRNA from 1 species